rnacentral:rRNA from 1 species
GAACGCUGGCGGCAGGCCUAACACAUGCAAGUCGAGCGGUAACACAGGGAGCUUGCUCCUGGGUGACGAGCGGCGGACGGGUGAGUAAUGUCUGGGAAACUGCCCGAUGGAGGGGGAUAACUACUGGAAACGGUAGCUAAUACCGCAUAACGUCGCAAGACCAAAGAGGGGGACCUUCGGGCCUCUUGCCAUCGGAUGUGCCCAGAUGGGAUUAGCUAGUAGGUGGGGUAACGGCUCACCUAGGCGACGAUCCCUAGCUGGUCUGAGAGGAUGACCAGCCACACUGGAACUGAGACACGGUCCAGACUCCUACGGGAGGCAGCAGUGGGGAAUAUUGCACAAUGGGCGCAAGCCUGAUGCAGCCAUGCCGCGUGUAUGAAGAAGGCCUUCGGGUUGUAAAGUACUUUCAGCGAGGAGGAAGGCAUUGUGGUUAAUAACCACAGUGAUUGACGUUACUCGCAGAAGAAGCACCGGCUAACUCCGUGCCAGCAACCGCGGUAAUACGGAGGGUGCAAGCGUUAAUCGGAAUUACUGGGCGUAAAGCGCACGCAGGCGGUCUGUCAAGUCGGAUGUGAAAUCCCCGGGCUCAACCUGGGAACUGCAUUCGAAACUGGCAGGCUAGAGUCUUGUAGAGGGGGGUAGAAUUCCAGGUGUAGCGGUGAAAUGCGUAGAGAUCUGGAGGAAUACCGGUGGCGAAGGCGGCCCCCUGGACAAAGACUGACGCUCAGGUGCGAAAGCGUGGGGAGCAAACAGGAUUAGAUACCCUGGUAGUCCACGCCGUAAACGAUGUCGACUUGGAGGUUGUGCCCUUGAGGCGUGGCUUCCGGAGCUAACGCGUUAAGUCGACCGCCUGGGGAGUACGGCCGCAAGGUUAAAACUCAAAUGAAUUGACGGGGGCCCGCACAAGCGGUGGAGCAUGUGGUUUAAUUCGAUGCAACGCGAAGAACCUUACCUACUCUUGACAUCCACGGAAUUUGCUAGAGAUAGCUUAGUGCCUUCGGGAACCGUGAGACAGGUGCUGCAUGGCUGUCGUCAGCUCGUGUUGUGAAAUGUUGGGUUAAGUCCCGCAACGAGCGCAACCCUUAUCCUUUGUUGCCAGCGGUUCGGCCGGGAACUCAAAGGAGACUGCCAGUGAUAAACUGGAGGAAGGUGGGGAUGACGUCAAGUCAUCAUGGCCCUUACGAGUAGGGCUACACACGUGCUACAAUGGCAUAUACAAAGAGAAGCGACCUCGCGAGAGCAAGCGGACCUCAUAAAGUAUGUCGUAGUCCGGAUUGGAGUCUGCAACUCGACUCCAUGAAGUCGGAAUCGCUAGUAAUCGUAGAUCAGAAUGCUACGGUGAAUACGUUCCCGGGCCU